AUUGAACGCUGGCGGCAGGCUUAACACAUGCAAGUCGAGCGGGGGAAGGUAGCUUGCUACCGGACCUAGCGGCGGACGGGUGAGUAAUGCUUAGGAAUCUGCCUAUUAGUGGGGGACAACAUCUCGAAAGGGAUGCUAAUACCGCAUACGUCCUACGGGAGAAAGCAGGGGAUCUUCGGACCUUGCGCUAAUAGAUGAGCCUAAGUCGGAUUAGCUAGUUGGGGGGGUAAAGGCCUACCAAGGCGACGCUCUGUAGGCGGUCUGAGAGGAUGGUCCGCCAAACUGGGACUGAGACACGGCCCAGACUCCUACGGGAGGCAGCAGUGGGGAAUAUUGGACAAUGGGGGGAACCCUGAUCCAGCCAUGCCGCGUGUGUGAAGAAGGCCUUAUGGUUGUAAAGCACUUUAAGCGAGGAGGAGGCUACUCUAGUUAAUACCUAGGGAUAGUGGACGUUACUCGCAGAAUAAGCACCGGCUAACUCUGUGCCAGCAGCCGCGGUAA
rnacentral:rRNA from 1 species